UACGAAGGGGGCUAGCGUUGUCCGGAAUCAUUGGGCGUAAAGAGCGUGUAGGCGGUCCGGUAAGUCCGCUGUGAAAGUCGGGGGCUCAACCCUCGAAUGCCGGUGGAUACUGUCGGGCUAGAGUGCGGAAGAGGCGAGUGGAAUUCCUGGUGUAGCGGUGAAAUGCGCAGAUAUCAGGAGGAACACCGGUGGCGAAGGCGGGUCUCUGGGCCGAUACUGACGCUGAGGAGCGAAAGCGUGGGGAGCGAACAGG
rnacentral:rRNA from 1 species